rnacentral:tRNA from 1 species
GGAGAGGUUCCCGAGUGGCUAAAGGGAGCAGACUGUAAAUCUGCCGGCUCUGCCUUCGGAGGUUCGAAUCCUCCCCUCUCCACCA